rnacentral:lncRNA from 1 species
CCUCCUCAGUUGGCCGAGUCGUCCCGCGCGCACCGCCUCCGCGCGCCUAUGAGAAUGAGGUGGUAACGGGCCCCCGGAUGACCCCGCGUCACCACUGUGAGGCCUACAGCUCUGCCGGGGAGGAGGAGGAGGAGGAAGAGGAGGAGAAGGUAGCUACAGCAAGCUGGGUAGCAGGCAGAUCCAAAGGAUAUCAUGAAGUUUCCAGGGCCUUUGGAAAACCAGAGAUUGUCUUUCCUGUUGGAAAAGGCAAUCACUAGGGAAGCACAGAUGUGGAAAGUGAAUGUGCGGAAAAUGCCUUCAAAUCAGGCUCAUCCAAAAUACUUGAGUUGUAUUGCAAUCAGCUGUUUUUUCCUAGCUGCCAAGACUGUUGAGGAAGAUGAGAGAAUUCCAGUACUAAAGGUAUUGGCAAGAGACAGUUUCUGUGGAUGUUCCUCAUCUGAAAUUUUGAGAAUGGAGAGAAUUAUUCUGGAUAAGUUGAAUUGGGAUCUUCACACAGCCACACCAUUGGAUUUUCUUCAUAUUUUCCAUGCCAUUGCAGUGUCAACUAGGCCUCAGUUACUUUUCAGUUUGCCCAAAUUGAGCCCAUCUCAACAUUUGGCAGUCCUUACCAAGCAACUACUUCACUGUAUGGCCUGCAACCAACUUCUGCAAUUCAGAGGAUCCAUGCUU